CUUUGACAGAAUUAAUUAUUUUUUGCUCUGACUUCCACAUUUAUCACUGAAUUUAUCGUACGAUCUGCUUCCUGCAAAACUACACAUAGAGCGUUUAUAUUCAGAAAUGCAGAUUAUUUUUUAAAUCAAAAUGGAAAUAAACAUUUUUUGCUUUAUACAUUUAUCCAGAUUUAGAAAAUACUAGAAAUAAAUUCUUUAACUUGACAGCAGAAAACCUCUUCUCACGACCUUAAACUAAAACCCAUCCAGUGUGGAAUAUAGUUGAACCAGUUAACAAAUGUCUGCUUCAUUUAAACUCAAUCUGCAUCUGUUUCAUGUCCUAAUCUACAGGAUUUAGAGUUCCUGUUCUCCCCUGAAGUGACUGUUUCAGCAGGUUGAAACCAGUGACAGAUGUGCUGCAGCACGCAGUCAGUGAGAGAAACGUCUGGAACAACUCGUGACUCAUCUCAGAGAUCAGCCUCACAAACUUUCCUCCUGUGCACGAGGACACGUCUCAGCAUCGUUACUGAGCUGUUUAACUGCUGAAGACAUUUACUUUGAAAACUACGAGAUGAAUCACCGAUGUUGAUGGAGAACCAGAACCUCAUCAUGCUGACAGCCUGUAGAGGAAUUAUAGUUUCUGUUCUCCAGGUCUGUGGACUUUUGAGAGUGGACUUUGUUUUAUUUUUAUUUUAUUGAUGCGAGCCAAAAAGAAAAUAAAUUAAUAACAUAA